UGAGUCAAGAAUGACUUGCCG
rnacentral:miRNA from 1 species